rnacentral:rRNA from 1 species
GACGAACGCUGGCGGCGUGCUUAACACAUGCAAGUCGAACGGAAAGGCCCUGCUUUUGUGGGGUGCUCGAGUGGCGAACGGGUGAGUAACACGUGAGUAACCUGCCCUUGACUUUGGGAUAACUUCAGGAAACUGGGGCUAAUACCGGAUAGGAGCUCCUGCUGCAUGGUGGGGGUUGGAAAGUUUCGGCGGUUGGGGAUGGACUCGCGGCUUAUCAGCUUGUUGGUGGGGUAGUGGCUUACCAAGGCUUUGACGGGUAGCCGGCCUGAGAGGGUGACCGGCGACAUUGGGACUGCGAUACGGCCCAGACUCCUACGGGAGGCAGCAGUGGGGAAUAUUGCACAAUGGGCCGAAGCCUGAUGCAGCAACGCCGCGUGCGGGAUGCCGGCCUUCGGGUUGUAAACCGCUUUCGCCUGUGACGAAGCGUGAGUGACGGUAAUGGGUAAAGAAGCACCGGCUAACUACGUG